rnacentral:rRNA from 1 species
GCCAGCAGCCAUAUGCAACUCACAACUGACAACCCCCUGAAGCUCAGCAGGUGUGAGCCUGGCCAGUAUCUGGAUGGGAGACCUCCUGGGAAACACUAAGGUUGCUGCUGGAA